GCAAUUAAAGAUUGCAUCCAUAAACAUGUUGACAUUACAUAAGCAGACAUUACAUAGUACUAUAUUAGAAAAUACUAACAAACACAUAUGUACAAAAACUGAAAAAGCUAGAAGCUAAUCAGAAAAGAAAACGAAAAAUAAUGGUAAUAGGCCAAAACAGAACAGCCUACUACCGUGGCAAAGCCACCUUCUUUCUUUUCGUUUUUUAUUUUUUUUUCUCUGCUGCUCGUACAACAUGGAUUAGUGGCUAGUGUGCUGGCUGUCCAACAGCCAUACACACGCACGAGUGGAUAGGGAGGCGACGGGAUACUUCGUUCCCAUCGACAAUCAUCCCCAAUCCAACUCGAGCGGUGGCUGUCUGCAUCACUACCACCAAUCUCCGCCUCCAGCGACUGCCUCACCGGCGGGAGGUCGACGGCCCCGGCGCAGCAUCUUCCUCCUCUGAAGAAGAUCCACCAGGAAGCUGCGUCCCAGGUGCGACGCCGUUGGAGUGGCCGUUGGCCAGUCCGAGAACCACCGCGCGGCUGCGUUGCAGCUCGGCCCGCGGCACUAUGUGCCAGCGGCGGGGCGCCGAUGGGCCAGUGGAGCUGCUCGCCCAGUUGUCGAAGACGUCCCCGAGUGUAGCAGCCCGUGCGGGGAGGCGCAGCCCGAGGCUAGCGCUCGACGAAGAAGCCCCAGCGCCGGCCGCCUCGUGCGCCGGCGUCGGAGAUGGAAGACGCGGGGAGUUCGGCUGCGCGGGCUCCGCGGGCGGCACAGGCGACGCAGGUUCGGCCUCCUCCUGGACCUCGUAAUCUUGUGGCGGGGGUGGUUGCAGGACCAUCCAUGGCCCCCAACCAUGCACCAGGCACGGACGUGGUGGUGGAGGAGCCGCAAGUUCCGGCUCAACGUCGACGUCCACUGCGUCGUCCGCGGGCUCCAGUACCUCGUCCGCAUACAGGUUUGGAGCGGCCAGUCCGGCAAGAAUCCAGGCCGGGAGUGGCGCCGCCGCCCGCAUGGCCGGUUCGGGCGGAGCCUUAGAAGGCCCAGCACCAUCGCGACCUCGGGCGCCAUGUCCAAGACGUGGUCCGCGGCGACGGAAACCGUUCCGGUGGCCUCUGAACCGGCGCAGAUCACGGGCGUGGCGGUUGUGGCGGCGAAGUCCACCAACACCAUGGCGACGACGACGGCCCUGUCGGCGUCUACCGCCGCUACGAACAAGGUGCAGGAAGAAGGACAGGAGACCACAAGGCAUCCUCUCACCUUUUCCUUUUUUCCCUUCUGGCUCUCUUUUCCGGCUACUGUCGCCGGCGUGAUUUGCCUAUGCGUGCUCUGGGCAGAGACAAGUGCUGAUAACGUAUUAAAGAAUGAUUUGAUGGAAGUGUCUUAUUCCAUUGAUGAUCACACAUUUAUACAGGGGGAAUCGGCGCUUAUGAGAAGAUGCGCCUGUUCGAGGGGAUGCGAGGAGCGGAUGCGACGGUUGCCUGGAGAGGUUCCCGCACAAACGAGGCGGCGGUUGCCUCGAGAGGAUCCCGUGCAUGCUGUUAUUUACAACAAGGAUUAUCUCUAAUAAUUAAAUCCUAACAGUUAUAAAGAAAUUCGGUAGGUAUUUAUACUGCUACACACGCAAUCAGAAAUAUUUCUUUUUACCAGUUUCUUCCCUUUGUGUACACGGUAAUUCAUCGAGCACAGAUCUGAUAACUCAAACACCGUUGUAAAAAAAAUAUUGGUGUAACACAUUCCGAUAACUUAUUUGUAAAAACAACAUGGUAAUUAUAUGACAUGUAACUCACUCACAAACACCGUGGUAACUUUCGACCAGAAGAAAAAAUGUUGUUCUAACACAUUCCGACAACUUAUUUGUAGAAAAGAGCAUGGUAAUUUAUAUGCCAUGAAUAUGAUAACUCACACAUACACACCGCGGUAACUUUUUUGACCACAUGAAAAAAAAGUUGUUAUAACACCCCAAAUAACAUCUUUAUAAAAAACAUGGUAAUAUAUACGCCACAAACCUGGUAACCCACUCACAAAUACUGCGGUAACUUUCGGUGCAAAGAAGAAAAGUUGUUGUAACACACACCAAUAACUUCUCUACAAAAGGGCAUCAUAAUUUAUAUGCCACGAACUUGAUAACUCACACACAACAAUGUUAUUCACACAAAAUUUACCAAGGGAUAUUUCGACAACCCCUACCCCUCCCCCUACCAAAGCUAUGAGGAACAGAGUACAUAAGUUAUCAGGUCUGUGAUGUGUGAGUUAUCAUAUUGUUCAUAUAAAAAUUACCAGGG
rnacentral:rRNA from 1 species